rnacentral:misc_RNA from 1 species
AGUGUCGUGGUCUCCGAACUG